rnacentral:rRNA from 1 species
CGGCCUACGGGGGGCAGCAGUGGGGAAUUUUGGACAAUGGGCGCAAGCCUGAUCCAGCAAUGCCGCGUGAGUGAAGAAGGCCUUCGGGUUGUAAAGCUCUUUUGUCAGGGAAGAAACGGCUGAGGAUAAUACCUUCGGCUAAUGACGGUACCUGAAGAAUAAGCACCGGCUAACUACGUGCCAGCAGCCGCGGUAAUACGUAGGGUGCAAGCGUUAAUCGGAAUUACUGGGCGUAAAGCGUGCGCAGGCGGUGUUGUAAGUCUGACGUGAAAGCCCCGGGCUCAACCUGGGAAUUGCGUUGGAGACUGCAAGGCUUGAAUCUGGCAGAGGGGGGUAGAAUUCCACGUGUAGCAGUGAAAUGCGUAGAGAUGUGGAGGAACACCGAUGGCGAAGGCAGCCCCCUGGGUCAAGAUUGACGCUCAUGCACGAAAGCGUGGGGAGCAAACAGGAUUAGAUACCCGAGUAGUC